AGCCUCUACCACUUCUGCUGGGAGGCUUAUCUAUAGGCUACAUUCUUAUCUUGGAGUGGCUAAUACGUAUUUGUUUUUUUAGAAAUUAAAUUUUUUAUCAGGUACGAUAUACUGGGGUGGGCUGCCAUUUUCCCUGCAUUGAUAUUACCCGUAUUUUUGGCUUUGUAUGAAUAAUUAAGUGUAACCAGGAGUAUUAUUGUGUUUUUUAAACUGAAAUAUAACUUUUUCAUAAGAAAAUGAAUUCUAUGGUUGGUAUGGUGACAAGACCAUUUUUAAGUGGCCAUUUUGAAUAAUUAACCCAAAUUGUGGUCUGGGGAUUAAAUGUCCUGCCGAUACAAUGUUUAUGCUGGUAACAUAUCUGAGUAAGUUCCCCUUCUCUUGUAUUGUUUCUAUAUGUUUAAAUUGUCUACAAUGCUCUGUUUACUCAACAACUGCAUACUCUUAAUAUCCACUCUAAGGGUUAAAUAAAUUAAUAUAUUUGAUAUCUGGA